CAGUAGCCGCGGUAAUACGAAGGGGGCUAGCGUUGUUCGGAAUCACUGGGCGUAAAGCGCACGUAGGCGGACUUUUAAGUCAGGGGUGAAAUCCCAAGGCUCAACCUUGGAACUGCCUUUGAUACUGGAAGUCUUGAGUUCGGGAGAGGUGAGUGGAACUGCGAGUGUAGAGGUGAAAUUCGUAGAUAUUCGCAAGAACACCAGUGGCGAAGGCGGCUCACUGGCCCGAUACUGACGCUGGGGUGCGAAAGCGUGGGGAGCAAACAGGAUUAGAUACCCCAGUAGUCCCUGUCUCUUAUAC
rnacentral:rRNA from 1 species